AUUGAACGCUGGCGGCAGGCCUAACACAUGCAAGUCGAACGGCAGCACAGAAGAGCUUGCUCUUUGGGUGGCGAGUGGCGGACGGGUGAGUAACACGUAGGAAUCUACCCAGUAGUGGGGGAUAACCUGGGGAAACCCAGGCUAAUACCGCAUACGCCCUGAGGGGGAAAGCGGGGGAUCUUCGGACCUCGCGCUAUUGGAUGAGCCUGCGUCGGAUUAGCUAGUUGGUGGGGUAAGGGCCCACCAAGGCGACGAUCCGUAGCUGGUCUGAGAGGAUGACCAGUCACACCGGAACUGAGACACGGUCCGGACUCCUACGGGAGGCAGCAGUGGGGAAUAUUGGACAAUGGGCGCAAGCCUGAUCCAGCCAUGCCGCGUGGGUGAAGAAGGCCUC
rnacentral:rRNA from 1 species